UACAGAGGGUGCAAGCGUUGUUCGGAAUUAUGGUGCGUAAAGCGCGUGUAGGCGGCUUUGCAAGUCGGGUGUGAAAGCCCUCGGCUCAACCGAGGAAGUGCGCCCGAAACUGCAGAGCUUGAGUGCCGGAGAGGAUGGCGGAAUUCCCCAAGUAGAGGUGAAAUUCGUAGAUAUGGGGAGGAACACCGGUGGCGAAGGCGGCCAUCUGGACGGUAACUGACGUUGAGACGCGAAAGCGUGGGGAGCAAACAGG
rnacentral:rRNA from 1 species